rnacentral:rRNA from 1 species
UUUUUUUUAAUUAUCUAAAAAGUAACACCUGCCCACUGGUUAAUCUAAAGGGCCGCGGUAUUAUGACCGUGCUAAGGUAGCAUAAUCAUUAGUCUCUUAAUUAGGGAAUUGUAUGAAUGGUGAUACUUUCAAGUACUUUGUUAUAAAGAUAAAUUAAAAUUUAGUUUUAAGUGAAAAUUCUUAAAUUUUGCAAAAAGACGAUAAGACCCUAUAGAGCUUUAUACAUAAAUAAAUUUAUUUCAUGGGGGUAAAGUAAAUUUAUUAGUGUAUUUUGUUGGGGCAACAAAAGAAUAAUUUUAACUUCUUUGCAUAAUUAUACCCUUAAUUUUAGAAACUAAAAAGUUACCUUAGGGAUAACAGCGUUAUAAUUUUUGAGAGCCCAAAUCGACAAAAUUGUUUGCGACCUCGAUGUUGAAUUAAAAUUUCUUUAAGGGGCAGUUCUUUUAAUAGAUAGUCUGUUCGACUAUAAAAUUUUU